UUAUGGCCAUAUCACGUUGAAACACCAGUUCCCAUCUGAUCACUAAAGUUAAGCUACAUUGGACAUGGUCAGUACCAAGAUGGGUGACCGCUUGGGAAUGCCAGGUGCUGUAAG